GGGGUUUCCAUCUUGAGAAGCGGCGAAUUUGGGAGGGGGAAGACGGUCCUUGACGGCCGGGGGGAAUCUAGCAGUGAAAUCUCUUAAGGGAAACUCACGGUCGUCACGGCAGUCGUUCUCAAAAUUGAGGGCAUAACUGGAAGAAUCGUAGGAAAAGUCGAGGGAGGCAAGGUACUUCUUCCGGCGGCGAGCUAUCCGAGCUAGGAGAUACCGGCAGCGGUGAAGUAACUCCGACAGUUCAGCGGCGGUGGAUUUGAACCAAGAACACGGGGCUGUUGUGGACGCCUUGGAAGGAGAGUGGAGAAAAUGGGUGUGGAAACAGCAGAAGGAGGAUUUGAGGUUGUGAGGGGAAGAAGGAGAGUGAUGAAAAUGGGGUAACAUUGCAAGGAAUAAGGAUUUGGUUUUUUU
rnacentral:misc_RNA from 1 species